UACGUAGGGGGCUAGCGUUGUCCGGAAUCAUUGGGCGUAAAGCGCGCGUAGGCGGCCAGAUAAGUCCGGUGUGAAAGUCACAGGCUCAACCUGUGAAUGCCGCUGGAAACUGUCUGGCUAGAGUCCGGAAGGGGCGAGUGGAAUUCCUGGUGUAGCGGUGAAAUGCGCAGAUAUCAGGAGGAACACCAAUGGCGUAGGCAGCUCGCUGGGACGGUACUGACGCUGAGGCGCGAAAGCAUGGGGAGCGAACAGG
rnacentral:rRNA from 1 species